CCUAGAAAUAAUCUAAGGUGUAACCUGCCCAGUGGACUUCGAACUAAUCCUUAACAAUUUUAAGAAGUCUUAAAGGACGCAGUAACCUGACUGUGAUAAAGUAGCAUAAUCAUUUGCCAUUUAAUUGAUGGAUAGUAUGAAUGGUCAAACGAAUCCCUCACUGUCUAAAUAAGAGAAGUCAUGAAAUUAAAAUGAUAGUUAAGAUGCUAUCUACAAUUGUAAGACGAAAAGACCCUAUAGAGCUUAACUAUAAUUUCUCUAAAAUGUUUACUCUCAAACAGAGAAAAUGGUAGUUUAGUUGGGGCGACUACCUUUUAAAUUUAACAAAGGUAAGCUAAGUUAAUGAUAAACUUAUUGUACAAUUAAUAAAUUUAACAAUUACUAAAGUAGGCCAUAAUGACCCGUUAAAAUCUUGUAACAGAAUUAACGAUUAAUAAAUAAAAGUUACCUUAGGGAUAACAGAACAAUCUCGUCUUAGAGAUCCUAUCCAAGACGAGGUUUAUCACCUCUAUGUUGAAUUAAGAUAUCCCGGCUGAGCAAAAACAGCCAACGGUGGGUCUGUUCGACCCUUAAAAU
rnacentral:rRNA from 1 species